rnacentral:rRNA from 1 species
AGUGAACGCUGGCGGUAGGCCUAACACAUGCAAGUCGAACGGCAGCACAGUAAGAGCUUGCUCUUACGGGUGGCGAGUGGCGGACGGGUGAGGAAUACAUCGGAAUCUACUUUUUCGUGGGGGUUAACGUAGGGAAACUUACGCUAAUAUCGCAUACGACCUACGGGUGAAAGCAGGGGAUCUUCGGACCUUGCGCGAUUGAAUGCGCCGAUGUCGGAUUAGCUAGUUGGCGGGGUAAAGGCCCACCAAGGCGACGAUCCGUAGCUGGUCUGGGAGGAUGAUCACCCACACUGGAACUGAGACACGGUCCAGACUCCUACGGGAGGCAGCAGUGGGGAAUAUUGGACAAUGGGCGCAAGCCUGAUCCAGCCAUACCGCGUGGGUGAAGAAGGCCUUCGGGUUGUAACGCCCUUUUGUUGGGAAAGAAAAGCAGCAGGUUAAUACCCCGCUGUUCUGACGGUACCCAAAGAAUAAGCACCGGCUAACUUCGUG